rnacentral:rRNA from 1 species
GGGGAAUAUUGCACAAUGGGCGAAAGCCUGAUGCAGCGACGCCGCGUGAGGGAUGACGGCCUUCGGGUUGUAAACCUCUUUCAGCAGGGAAGAAGCGACAGUGACGGUACCUGCAGAAGAAGCGCCGGCUAACUACGUGCCAGCAGCCGCGGUAAUACGUAGGGGGCAAGCGUUAUCCGGAUUUACUGGGUGUAAAGGGAGCGUAGGUGGUUCGGCAAGUCAGAUGUGAAAGCCCGGGGCUCAACCCCGGGACUGCAUUUGAAACUGUCGGGCUAGAGUGCAGGAGAGGUAAGUGGAAUUCCUAGUGUAGCGGUGAAAUGCGUAGAUAUUAGGAGGAACACCAGUGGCGAAGGCGGCUUACUGGACUGUAACUGACACUGAUGCUCGAAAGCGGGGGGAGCAAACA